GUGCUUGCCUCGGCAGCAUGUGUGCUAAAAUUGGAGCAAUACAGAGAAGAUUAAAUGGCCCCUAUGCAAGGAUGACAUGCAAAUUCAUUAAGCAGUCCAUAUUUUU
ensembl:snRNA U6 U6 spliceosomal RNA